CCAACAGGGAUUGCCUCAGUAACGGCGAGUGAAGCGGCAACAGCUCAAAUUUGAAAUCUGGCUCACGCCCGAGUUGUAAUUUGCAGAGGAUGCUUCGGGCGCGGCGCUUUCCAAGUCCCCUGGAACGGGGCGCCACAGAGGGUGAGAGCCCCGUCUGGUCGGCCGCCAAGCCUGUGUGAAGCUCCUUCGACGAGUCGAGUAGUUUGGGAAUGCUGCUCUAAAUGGGAGGUAGACCCCUUCUAAAGCUAAAUACCGGCCAGAGACCGAUAGCGCACAAGUAGAGUGAUCGAAAGAUGAAAAGCACUUUGAAAAGAGGGUUAAAAAGUACGUGAAAUUGUUGAAAGGGAAGCGCUUGUGACCAGACGUGUGCCGGGCGUUCAGCGGGCGUUCUCGCCCGUGUAUUCGCCCCGGUGCAGGCCAGCGUCGGUUCGGGCGGGGGGAUAAAGGUGUCAGGAACGUAGCUCCCCCGGGAGUGUUAUAGCCUGGCGCGUCAUGCCCCCGCCUGGACCGAGGUUCGCGCUCCGCAAGGACGCUGGCGUAAUGGUCCCCAGCGGCCCGUCUUGAAACACGGACCAAGGAGUCGAGGUUUUGCGCGAGUGUCUGGGUGUCAAACCCGCACGCGUAAUGAAAGUGAACGCAGGUGGGAGCUUCGGCGCACCACCGACCGAUCCUGAUGUUCUCGGAUGGAUUUGAGUACGAGCGUAGGGCCUCGGACCCGAAAGAUGGUGAACUAUACUUGGAUAGGGUGAAGCCAGAGGAAACUCUGGUGGAGGCUCGCAGCGGUUCUGACGUGCAAAUCGAUCGUCAAAUCUGAGUAUGGGGGGCGAAAGACUAAUCGAACCAU
rnacentral:rRNA from 1 species